AAGACCUUGCGCUUUUGGAGCGGCCGAUGCCUGAUUAGCUUGUUGGUAAGGUAAAAGCUUACCAAGGCUUCGAUCAGUAGCUGGUCUGAGAGGACGGCCAGCCACACUGGGACUGAGACACGGCCCAGACUCCUACGGGAGGCAGCAGUGGGGAAUUUUGGACAAUGGGGGCAACCCUGAUCCAGCUAUGCCGCGUGAGUGAAGAAGGCCUUCGGGUUGUAAAGCUCUUUCAGCCGGAACGAAACGGUUACGGUUAAUACCCGUGAUUACUGACGGUACCGGAAGAAGAAGCACCGGCUAACUACGUGCCAGCAGCCGCGGUAAUACGUAGGGUGCGAGCGUUAAUCGGAAUUACUGGGCGUAAAGCGUGCGCAGGUGGUUUUGUAAGUCAGAUGUGAAAGCCCCGGGCUCAACCUGGGAACU
rnacentral:rRNA from 1 species